GGUUCCGUGCCACAGCAGUUUAAAUGGUAAUUUCGGGAUGUCAUCUUUUACCCUGCGGUGACUGCACAUACCCUGGAGAGGUGUUCUCACUCAUGCACUGAAGCCAGACUAGAUGGCGAGCUCAGCCAGGCUCUCCUGGAGACAGGGAAAUACAAGGUUGCUCAGAGAUGUGGUGGAUGCCCAUGCCUGGAGGUGUUCAAGGCAUUCCUAAAAAGAGAAGUAACGGGCAAAAUGGGACUACAAGAGACUUUUCAGAGUGCUUAUGACAGCUCUGCAAAAACUGCUUUCCAUUUUCUUACAGGUUAGUUCUAAUAGAUUUACUAAUAAUAGUUGAAAUUUGAAAAUUAUCAGGGGUUUACCCAUCCAAGAAUUGCUUGGUGAAGGAAAAAAAACAAAACAACAACAAAAACCCCACAAAUCUUUGAUGGAAGUUGAGAAUUGGUUAUUGCUCUUAAGUCAUUGCAUUUAUUUAGCAUACAUGAGAAAAAGCAAACUGUGAAAGGAUAUUUGAGUGAAAACCUGGCUGCGUUGUGUGAGACUUCAUCCAGUUUACAGGCUGAAUUAAUAUUUUCUCUUGUUAUUUGUUUUUGAAUUCUUUGAUCUUCCAUAGUUUCUUAGUCAUCUUUCACAAUAUAUUUUCAUUAAUUCUAAAAGAAGCUGAUUUAGACUAAUAAGCUGACCCUUUUUCAGUUCUGGACCAACAAUUCCAUUGCUGAAGUUACAAAAUGAUAGAUUUGUUCAGUUUUGAUAGUGAAACCAGUAUAGUAGUAUUAAAACCCAUCAGGAUACCUUUUGCAAUUCUAAUCAUGAACAAGUAAUUAGAACCAAUUCAAUGUUUUUUCCAGAAUUUUGUAUGCUUUCUCUAUAUUAAAUAAAGUCAGAAGUAAGCAAAAACUUUAAUAAAACUAGAAUGAAUGAAGUAACUUCAUUCCUUUAGUCUAUAAUUUGUCAGUUAACUGAUUUGAGCAAUUUCAGAUACUGGAACAUUAGCAACCAAAUUCAAAACAUCAGCAAUUCUAAGAAACAAAGUUUAUAUAUGUGACAGUUGUAUGUAUCACAACUCUGUAUUAUUGUGAAAUCCUGAUUCUAAUGGAAACGUAAUUGUUAAUCUAUUUUUCUAGAUAUUAAAAAUCCCACGCCUGAAGUGUGGGAGUAGGCAAAGUCUUGGUCAUAGGUCUGUUUAAUCUGAUGUAUGUGUCAGCCUUGUGUGUGCACAUUUUAAGAGAGUAAAAGUUUGGAAAUAGCACUGGAACAGAUUCUCCAGUGAGGUGGUGGAUCUUUUCAAGAUCCACCAGGGUUUUCAAGAUGUAAUGGAGCAAAACCCUGAGCAACCUGGCCAAGAUUCAGAAUUGAUCCAGUAUUGAGCCAGAGGACUAGAAUCCUCUGAAGGUCCUUUUCAACUUAAAUAACCGUGGUUCUCUGAUCCUGUAAAACAGUGAGUGUGGAAAAAAGAAAGAAAUAUUAAAGGAAAUGUUGGAGCUAGAAAAUGCCAUGAUAAUUAAAAGACAGUCUGUCCCUACGUAAAAGAAAUAUUGAUACCAGUGAUUCCUGUCCCUCAGAGGGAACCACAGUGGUUUUGAGAUUGUGCCCAGAGGUUUCACUUCUUAAAGUCUUUACUGUAGGGAUUAAUACUACAUCAGAAAUGACACAUCAUUCCUAGUAGGUAACCCCAGUCAGUGUUAGUAGUGUGCUGAAUGAUGUUGUAUCAGAGGAGGCAAAACAGCAUGGAGGCUGUUCUGAAAGUAUUGCCUCCUAUUUUAUUAUGCUGACCCACAACAUCAGAGAUGGGUGUUGGUGGUAUGACAGCAGAGGUUGAACCUUCCCACCGGUAUUCAACUGCAUUUUGUUUCUAUGUGACAGAUGGCAGCAGCGGGACACUCUGACAAAAUGGUGUCUGACAUGGAAGUGCAUAUGAAGCAAAGAUGUGGAAUUGAAUUACUCUAUACAGAAAAAAUGUCACCCAUUGAUACUCAUUGACACUUGAUGAAUGUUUCUGGAGAACAAACAGUGGAUGUGAGUGCAGUGGGGUAGUGGUAACAGUGACCCGAGUGACAAGCCACAUUCUGAACAGUCAUGGAGAAUUUUAUGAACUCUUUUUCAUCCCUGGCAAAAAUGCAUGACUAAUGGUUGUGACUGUGUUGAAAAAUAGUGUUUUGUAGCUGAGAAUUUGCUCUAUCAGUGUUAUUUUGUUCUUUCUAUGUAUUGUAGUUUGCAUGGAAAAAAAACAGGGGAUAUUAUUUUUGGAGUGAGCUGCAUACCAUGUUAUUGUUUCUUAAGUUAGCCAUAGGAACACUAGGUUGAUGAAAUUAUUAGACUGGAACUUUGGAAGGAGUAAAUGAACAAAUGCAUUUUUUUCUGCAGUUCACUCUGCUAGUAUGGUAACUACUUCUACCAAGAGUCUACUCUAUCAAGGGUCUUGAUAUAGGCUAAAAAGUUUGUUUCAAAGUUGAUGCUUCAUAAGUAAAAGAUCUGCUGUUGAAAUUCCAAAGAAUUUGCAACUACUUCCAUUUCCUCUUUGAUAGAGGUGUAGAAAGAUGCCAUGCUUUGACAAUAAAAUACUUCACUUUCUGUAUUCAGUCAUUAUGCCUUAAACCAUUUCUUGCUGUUGUUGUAGAAAAGACUUCUCUUUUUGAAAUAAUUUGGAUGUUUUUUAGAGUGUUCGGCUUUAACUGAAAACAAACCAGUUGUUUCAGUGCCUUAAUAUAAGAGAAAAGAUAGCAAGUGUGCCUUUAAGUUCUGCCAGAAGAUGGAGGACCAGUCCUCAACUGUUCGUAGAGUAGAUAUCUCGCCAAGUAUUGCUGAUAUAUCUAUGUGGAAAUUGUACAGAUUGUGCACAGCUGUGGAACUGCAGUAGCUCAGGUUGCUCGUCUUCAAUAACAUCUGAAAAACCAUGACCUGGGUUGCUUCUUUAAUGUAGCUUCCACGUCAGUCAUAUGGACUUCAUUUUGCUUUAAUUCUCUGUCACUAUCUUCAGGAGGCAUUUUGGACUGAUAACCUGUUUUCAAAGAAGUUAAAUGUAUCUCAUUUUUGUGUAGAUGUUGCUUACUGCCUCUAAGAUGACUUGCAAGUAGAUCUUCUGUGGAUGCUUUGUCUAAAUUUUUUGACAGAAAAAUUGCUGUUAUUGUUGACCAGAUCAGAAUAAAUAAAUGAAUGAAUAAAUAAAAGAUUAUUCAAAUCAAAAUAUUUGCUUAGAAUUGAUCAGAAGCUAACUGUGCCUCACCCAAUAAGCUGUUCCCUACAAAUUCAUAGCUCAGUAGUUUAUGUCUUUUUUCUCUAUAUAUUCAUAAUAUACUAAACUAUGCCAGUGUUCUUAGCAGAAUACAUGUUGCAAUAUUCUUGGGGCAAUCUCAGAUAUGAGUACAGACUGGGAGAACAAUUCAGUGAGAGCAGGCCUGUUCAGGUCUUCUGGGAGACUUUCUCAUUUGUCACUUUGACUAAUGAGUUCAACAAUUAGAUGAAAAACAACAAAGUAAAGUUUACUGUGGUAAACUCAGAGAACAUAACGCAAAGAGACAAUCCUCUAUCCAGUGGUACUCAUGUUCUUGUAUACUGAACACAGUUGCCUCUUUUCCAUUGAAACAAUCUAGUUGUAUAAAUAUAAUAUGUUUCCCUGCUUCCUUCUGGUUAGAAAAUGUUAGCUGUUUGGCUCUUUCUUUUUGAAGAGUAUUAAGGCCAGUUGUAUGAAUCAUACUAGUAAUGAAUUACCAGAAUGUACUGUCUGUAGAAACUUCUCUGUACACAGACAGUAGCACCUUUCUGGUGAAUCCUAAGUGGUGGAUACUUCCUAGUGCCAUGUACCAUCUACUUUCUAAUAGUCCAAUUGUACCAGUUAUCAGUUUAUUGCUGAUCCACAGUUUGAUCUGUAUGUUGCCUGUCCAGUCUGGUAAUGUAUUGUCAAAACUGCCUCUGUCUUGGGACAGUGCAACCAAAAGAGUCAGAAAGAAACGAGACAGAUCAAGGAAAGAGCUUUAAGAGAUGAAGGACCUAGAAAUUCCUAAGUUCAUUUGAUUUAUCCCAAGUUUGAUUAAAAUGAAUUUUGAUUGUUGGGUUUUCCUAUUUAGGAAAGAAUGCCUUAAUUAUAAGGGCAUCAAAACCAACUAUUUCCUUUUAAUUAUUUUUCAAUAUGAUAUCUUUAUACUUUCUAAAGGGAGAAGAAUGUAAGAUCAAAUGUUAGUAGGGCUGAACUCAAUAAGAGCUAGUUUACAUUCACAGUAGUAUUAUAAUAUGGAGUAUGUCACUUUCUAUAGAAAAAGAGAUUCGAGAAUGGAUAUUCAUGAAAGACAGCAAUGGUAGAAAAAGGUUGUUAUUUUUUCAUACAUACAAAACUGAAUAUGCAACUGCAUACCUGGAAUUAAUACUGAAUUACAUGCCUUAGGUUAACUUACUAGCAUUUUCUUCCCAAGUAGUAUAAAUUGGAAGUCUGAGAAAAAAAUUAUUUUCCAAAAUAAAGCCUGAAAUUUGCUUGCAUUUUGUUGUUCAAUAGCACACAUAAAUGUUAGCUUAUAUAUUGCAUUUUGCUUAAACUCAUAGGCUUUUUUUUUUUUUUCCUCAUUUCUGGGCAGCCCUAUUUAUGCAGAUCUCGAAGACAAGAGAAUGAUUUAAUAAAGAAGAAUGAUAUAUACAACAGCAAUACAUGAUAGUAACCUAUGAAGUAACAGAUUUAGAAAGCUGGGAAAUUGGUCAAUAUUGAUUUCAGACAACAUGAGGGAAAACACUUAGCUUAUGUCCAUAUAAAGUUAUGGCUAAGUAUUCUGUUUGCAUUGUCUUCCAGAAGGGCACAACUGAUGAUCUUUGAAGGGCUUUUUAGCCUUUACAGAAUUUUAAAUUCUUUUAUAUUAUCUAGCUGUAAAAGUAUUAAAAAAAAGAGGACACAAGAUGUGAGAAAAUAUUGCAGAAAAAAAGAGCUUACAUGAAGUUGCACCGAUCUUUGUUCUCUGGGACAUGAGUUUUACUUUGUCCAACUGUACUUAGAAAAGUUCAUCCAGUACCACUUGCUUAAAAGACACAUCACUCACCAUUCCUGUUCUCUUUCUGCUCUCCAAUUAAUGUUUAUUAUUAUCAGCUUUUAAAUAGCUUUGUAAUUACAUUAAUAUGCACUGUCUUGUGAUAAUCAAAGGCCUAAAAUAUUAUUUUAAGAUAUACUGUGUACUCCAUCAUUAAUAUGUAUUAAGAUGGGAGUAGAGAAAAAAGAGUCAGAUAUGCAUUUUAGGUUUUUUUUUUUUUUUUUAAGUGAUGAAGGUUUUGUUAACUGCUUCAAAAUAUGAAAACAGUUUAGAAAAAAAUGUGAAAAAAUAAUCUUGAGAAGUCCAGAAAACUUGGAUGAAAACUCUAUCUGAUAGAGUCCUUUUUGGUCCAUGCAGCAAUUAUGCAUUGAAAUUAUGACCUUUGGAAUGAGUUCUCUCAUGUAAAGAUGUAAUUGGGCCAUAAAAUCCUUAUAAAAAUUUAUGAAAGAAACUUGGCUGAAUGAGUCUGGUAGACAAUUUAGGAACCCGAAUAUCUCAGCUACUUUGCUGAAUUUAUAUCGUUAAAAUUCUCCAAAGUGAUCAUAGCAUUCUUUCAUCUAAGUUACGUCAUUCAUCCAAUACUUCCAGAGAAGAUCCUGCUCAGCUGAAUCUUUGCUGUCCAUUUGUUUCUAAGGACUUGAAUGUAUAGGAUGACUAAGCCUGUCCGAAGUGAUGAGCGACAUUUGACUUCCAUUAUAAGAAAUCAUAAAUAAUAUUUCUACAUGGUAGCAGCUCAGAGUUGUCUCAGAAGCUCAGUAACAUCUUCAUCUGAAUACUCAAAACUGAGGGACUCUGGAUCACAAACAACAUUUAACAGUUGUCAGCUUUUAGAGUUAAAUCUAUAUGAAGGCCUUCAAACAACUGAAAGUAACAUAAUCAUAGUUAUGUCCGUUCUCAUUAUUCAUUUUGAGUCCAUCUUUGUAGAUUACAGAAAUCUCAGGCUCUCUUGGAAAGUUGCAGGAACAAGUAGGAAUAAUUGUUGAUCCCUCUACAUUUUAUGCAUUGUCAAGUGAUUUGCCAAGUAAAAAGUGUUUUCCUUUACUCAAGUACAUAAUACAUGCUAAAGUUGAAGUUUAGAAAUGUCAGUGGCUCGUUCCUGUCUGUGUGUCUAUCAGAGAUACUGGCUUACAGUUCCUCUAUAUUCCAGCUACCUGCCAAGUGAAUGUUGGUGCUGUCCUUACUGUAGGAAUACACCAUUGGAAUAAACAAUUUUUUCUCAAAAAUAUUUUUAGAAUAGCAACUGUCCUCUUACAUACAAGCAUAUCUUUUCUUUACAAUAGUCAUUAUUUUUAAUGUCAAGCAUAUUUGUUUUGAUAGUAUCCUCAAAUUACAUAGAAAAGAUUUCCCUUUUCCUUGCCAGCCCAAGUAUCCGUGUAAGGAUCUGUCACUUUUAUGUAUCAAAAACUACUAUUUUUUUCUUUACAUUCGGUUUUUAUAAUGUAUUCCAGUCUACUAUACAAUAUAUGUUUCACUAUACAGAGCAUGUGACAUAAAACUCUUAUUCUAGACAUUCUAGAGAAAUCCAUACUAACGUGCCUUCUUUUUGUGUUCAUACUAACAUGCCUUCUUUUAGCCCUUACAUAACCAAAGGUUCCAGCCAUAGCAGUCUUUCCAUUUUAAGAACAUGAAACCAUGCCAGUAAACUUCAGAUCAGCCACUGAGACCAAUUCCACUUGCCUAUGUCUUUAAGUAUCUCAAUAUUCUUCACAUACUUAACAAUUCUAACAACUGUUGAAAUACCUGUUUUGUUUUUUUUUUUCACAUUAGGAUUUCAGGCAUAGCAAAGCAAUCUUCUGAUCUGGAUACCCAAGUAUGGGCUUAUUAACAACACAUAUCAGUGAUAUUUUUCAGGAAUCUUUCAGUUUAGGUACAUUUUAUAAUGAUUUCAGCAUAUUGUUCUGUAUAAGUAGUCUUGACAGUUGGCUAUUCUCUGGAUUAAGGUUAACUCAAAAGAAUGCAGGUUGAAAAACUUUUGUUUUAAUUCUUCGAAACUGGGGAAUUAAUGUAUUGUUCUGCUUAUUAUUCCUACAUAAAAAAAGACUAAGAAAAGAAAGUGUAGUUUGUAUGUAUAUUUGUGGUGCAAUAAGAUAUCUUGAUUUAGAACCCUGAAUUGAGCUACAAAAAGAUAAUGACCUCCUAAAGGAAAGGAAUGAGACUUGACUGAAAUAAAUCAGAUGACCUUUGGAAGAAAGGAGGUUCAUAAAAGUGCAAAUAAUAAUAGUGGGGAAAAUUGAAAUUAACAUAGCUUUUAUAAGAGAUUUGUGUACUAUUCAUAAACAUAGACCAUUUCAAUGGCAAAAUGAGAAGUAGUCAAUCCAGAGUUCUGAAAUACUGAAGUGUCUAAGCAGUACAAGUGUGACAAGACAGUAAAAUUGCCUCAUUUCCAUUGAAAUCACCAGAAAGUUUCUCAAAUAUAUUCCGUGGAAGACUGAGUACUAUUUUUCCCCCUUAAGAAUAAAAAUAUCCAUCUGGAAUUUUUAGUAUUUUUUUUUUUCCUAGUAAAAUAUAUAUAUAUAUAUUUUCAGUGGAUAUUAUCAUGUUAUUGUCUGAG
ensembl:lncRNA